GGUAGAGAGCCCUGCAGAAGGCUGGGAUUUAUCGAGCAGCUGACAGAAGGUGGUGGCAGAGCUAGGUCAUGGCACAUUUGCCACAGUUCUUCCCUCUUUCCUCAGCCCUGCAAAGACCACAGAAGCCCCCAGUAUAGGGUUGUGCUUAUUCUGAGGAUGAGGAGGCUGACACUCAUCCCUCCUGAGCUGGGAGGGCACCACUGGGACAGGACUGGUAGAACUCCACAAAGCUACCAUUACCCAGAACCCUCUCUUUCCAUGUUCUGUGGCAGUUAGAGGCCACCAGUGUUUCCAGUAACCCAAAACCCCCUCUUUCCAUGUGUCCAGUAACUGACGGACCUGGGGUUCAUUUUCUAGACAGGAGGCAUGUUUGGCAGAGCUCGAUGGAUCCAGCUCUGCAUGUCCUGCUGACUUGAGGACAUUUGCUUUCAGCUUCAAGGAGCUGUGGGACCUGGAGGUCUUGCUGGUCCAGGAAGCAGCACACAUCAUUGCUGAGUGUGAGCAGUUACAGAACUGGAGGCUGCAUAUCGCCACGACACUCACACUCUAGAAAUGCCUAAAGAUGUUGAAGAACUGGAACAAAUAUCAGAGUAAUAGCAAGCUGUGUCACAAAACAGACAUGGGGAUCACUGCCCAGAUGUGGGGGAAGAAGUCAACACUGCUGCUAGACAUGAACAAGAUAAAGACCGAGAGUCCAGGAAAAUACCAGUUGAAACGAUGUCCUCAACAUAGUGUCACAGGUGGAUGCUAGGAGACAACUGAAGGCCAGCCAGAUCCUGUUAACACAGACCACGAGCCCUGGAGGACCACAGAGGCAGUCGACUGGAAGUCUCAUAAAGGUGCAUUGUUGGCCUUCAAAUUAAAAGGAAACGGUGGGGCUGGUGCUAUGGUAUAGCGGAUUAACGCCUUGGCCUGCAGCGUAAGCAUCUCAUAUGGGCGUCAGUUUGAGAUCCCCUGCUCCAAUUCCCAACCAGCUCUCUGCUAUGGCCUGGGAAAGCAGUAGAAGAUGGCCCAAGUCCUUGGGCCCCUGCACCCAAGGGGGAGACCUAAGGAACCUCCUGGCUCCUGGCUUCGGAUCGGUGCAGAUCCGGCCAUUCCAGUCAAUUCUCUCUUUCUGCCCCUCCUCUCUCUCUAUAACUCUGACUUUCAUAUAAAUAAAUAAAAUCUUUACAAAAUAAAGUAAAUGGUGCCAAAUCUCCACAAGACACAUACAGUUCUUGCCACAGCAAUAAUGGCAAAAUUAUCAGGGGCAGUCUGAUAAUAUCAAGUAAUGCAAAUUCAAAGUGAAGCUUGACCUUCUUGAGGUGGUGGUAACCUGCG